AGUGCGGACUGAGGCGCGGCACGGAGAGGAGGCGUGGAAGGGGAUCCCGGUGAGGAGAGCCACUGGGAGAGUUCGCUCAAUUCCUGAGGUUUUAAGUGCAGUUCACUGCUAGGGUGCCGACUCACUGAGCACGCAGGGGCAGAGGAAUUCAUUCUGAGUUGGUUGCACCGAAGAAAUAAAGCUCGAGCAGCUUGUUUUCCCCGGCGCCGUCCAAGGGGAGGGAAUAGGGAAUUGGGGUGGCUGGGGUCGGGGGUGAGGGCGGAUCCCUUGGACCGGGAUUAAAGAAAAGAAAAAGUCUGAACCGGCGGUCGGCCUCCUGGGAUUUUAUGGUGGGUGCUUCGCUGCGUCUCAGUGGUUGUUGAGCGCUCGAUUAAAACUGCCUGGCUGGGGCCGGGAGCAGUGGCUAACGCCUGUAAUCCCAGCACUUGGGAGGCCGAGGCGGCCGGAUCACGACGUUAAGACAUCGAGACCAUCCUGGCCAACAUGGUGAAAGCCCGUCUCUACCAAAGAUACAAAAAUUAGCUGGGCGUGGUGGCGCGUGCCUGUAGUCUCAGCUACUCGGGAGGCUGAGGCAGGAGAAUCGCUUGAACCCGGGAGGUGGAGGUUGCAGUGAGCCGAGAUCACGCCACUACACUCCAGCCUGGGCGACUGAGCGAGACUCCGUCUCAAAAAAAACAAAAAACAAAAAAACCCCCACUGCCUGGCGGGCGGAGAGAACCUGAGCCCAGGACGAGGCCGACCGUUUUCCCGCGCCGCGUGAGGGCGGCUGGCGGGACGGCAGACAGGGGUGUGGCAGCGACUUGUCCUCCGAGGAGCCUGCAUUUAAACCCUUCCUGCCUCACUCUUCCUUUUUCCUGUUUGUCCUGCCGCUUUAAACUCUGGUUUCGCCUUCCUGUUCAUUCCAUUGCUUAUUUUAGGUCGCAAGUGCUUUAUCCAGUGCUUUGAGUUUUUGACUGGAAAACCCAUAAUAUAAUCAGUCAAAACCCACACGUUGAAACACCAUAAAGUCACCCAGUCUCGGUCACCCUGGCACACACGGGGUUGUGAUCGUGACCUAGUCAUGUUUCUGACUCCGCUCAAUGGAAUGGAAUGAUUUUCUUUGGCUGUGCUGAGGUUAAUAUUGGAGGCAGAAACCCUCCGAGAAGGUAGAUGAAAACGAGCGCGAUUCACUUCCUCCUGUUUAACAGGAAUGUGAGGACAGGUCUGGAAAAUACCCUGGCACCAGUUAACAGGUUUAAAAGGGAGUUUCAUUCAUAUAAAUGAUCAAGAUUGUGACUGGCAUAUACAGUGGAAAAGGAAGAAGGGCAAGCGUUUUACUAUAAUUUGGAACCUGAACACCUAAGUUACAAAGGCAGAAGAUCUGGCAGCUUCAACACACUUGUUUCAUUACCUUCACACCCAGGGAGGGCAAGAAGCAACAGCAAGGAAUGACAGCUCUGCAGCUCUGCCCCAGGAGAGGAAGGAGAUAUUAGGGAACUGGGCUGGAGAAAAGUGCUGGAUAUUUUUCAUUCUCCCUAAUUUUAAAAACGAUCACAUAUGGGUCAUACACCCCUUUUACUACCUAUAUGCCCAUCCUGCCACCUCUAAGACAUAAAGUUCCAUAGCCAGAGAUACGGGACUGGUGAAAUGAAGAUGGCUUAUGAUGAAACCUGCUGCCUUCUUAAAAUUGCAACCACUGCACCUUUUCUGGAAGCCAGAUCAAGUUUCAAACUUGCAGCACCAAUGAGGCAUUUGAAGAUGAUUCGCUUAGCCUCAGUGAAAGUCUAGAGAGCCUAGCAUCACAGUCCCAAUUCAGCACCCCAAUCUCUGACUUACAAUUACCUCUGGAUCUCAAGGAAGAUUUAUGUAUAUAUGUUUCCUUUUAUCUAUUUCUAUGUCUUAUAGGUUGAAUGUAUGUAUGCAUAUGGAUUUGAGGAUUAUAGAGUAUUUUAAAAGUCUAAAAUGUAAUGAAAGGAUUCUUACAUUUUAACAUCAGAAUAUCAGAAUCUAUUGAAUACUCAUAAUGUUCCUAACACUGGAUACAGCAUUGAAAUGGAGGGUGGAGAAGGAUGGUGUACAAUAGAGAUAACUGUAUAUGAGGGAUUAAAUUUGAAACCAAGAAACAAUUUGAGGAGUUUAAUAAACUAUAUUGAGGCCGGG